rnacentral:rRNA from 1 species
GAUGAACGCUGGCGGCGUGCCUAAUACAUGCAAGUCGAGCGAACAGACGAGGAGCUUGCUCCUCUGACGUUAGCGGCGGACGGGUGAGUAAAACGUGGAUAACCUACCUAUAAGACUGGGAUAACUUCGGGAAACCGGAGCUAAUACCGGAUAAUAUAUUGAACCGCAUGGUUCAAUAGUGAAAGACGGUUUUGCUGUCACUUAUAGAUGGAUCCGCGCCGCAUUAGCUAGUUGGUAAGGUAACGGCUUACCAAGGCAACGAUGCGUAGCCGACCUGAGAGGGUGAUCGGCCACACUGGAACUGAGACACGGUCCAGACUCCUACGGGAGGCAGCAGUAGGGAAUCUUCCGCAAUGGGCGAAAUCCUGACGGAGCAACGCCGCGUGAGUGAUGAAGGUCUUCGGAUCGUAAAACUCUGUUAUUAGGGAAGAACAAAUGUGUAAGUAACUAUGCACGUCUUGACGGUACCUAAUCAGAAAGCCACGGCUAACUACGUG